CACGCUCAGGAGCCUGAUGUUGUUGUGUCGCCCCCUACAGGACUGCAGCAUCUCUACAUGUGGACUGAAGCCACCUGCACCACCUGAAGCACAGCAAAAUGUUGCAGAAAUCACAACGGGAGACGUUAUGUUUCGAUCCUGGACGAUCCCACCCGGUCCGUGUUUCUGGAAAUUAAUCCACACUGCAUCUUCAGAUGUUAUCUGGCUGUAAUGCUUCCACACUAAUGAAGUGCUUUUGCACGGAUUAAAGCUGCGAUCUGCACAUCCAUCCUGACGUGUUUCCACCUUCAUCUCAUGCCUGCGCUGUGAGGUCACGGCGAACCCCACCCCGGAGCGUCUGAACCGACACGUCAUCCAUUAGAGCUCAAUCACGACGGCCGGAUCUAAAUCAAUUAGAUAUGAAGCCCAGAGGUCACGGGGGUCAGCGCUGGGACGAGGCGUUCAUUAUGAGCGCAGCAUAUCUGAUUUAAUACACCGCUGGAACGGGAAGCCGCUCGGGAGAACUGCGGAUAUUAAAGGUCAAAUGUCAUCCAGCAUGUGGGCCUAAGAUAAAGUUACUGUGAAAUACUCCGGGAAAGAUGGAAAAUGUUCCCUUUAUAUACAGAGAAAGACAUCAGGCAUGUUCAGAAUCCAGUGCUGCCCGUGAUAUCCCACAAUCCUAUGCGUGCCAUUUUUAGAUAAGUAUUUGUGUCAAAAGUUUGGAAUACUUACGAUUUUUGGCUGCAUUUAUUUGAUAACAGUAAUAUUGCCAAAUACUAUUACAAUUUAAAAUAACUGUUUUCUAUGUGAAUCUCUGUUAAAGUGUAAUGUAUUUCUGUGAUGCAAAGCUGUAUUGUCAGCAUCAUUACUCCAGUCUUCAGUUUCACAUGAUCUUCAGAAAUCAUUCUAAUAUGAUGAUUUUUUGUAGUAAUAUUUUCAUUAAAUAUUUUUUGUUGUAUUUUUAGCAAAUUAUUGCAGCUUUGAAGAGCUUAAAAGACUUAAAAUGCUAUAGAAAUAUCGUUCUUACAGUAGUUUGUUAACAGGGUUAUUAUAAAUUACAGCUAAACUAAAACUAAAUCUAUUAAAAAUCUUAUUUUAAUGUUGAAAUAAAGCUGAAUAUGUGUGUGUGUGUGUGUGUGUG
ensembl:lncRNA